GACGGGGGGUCCAAGCGUUGUUCGGAAUCAUUGGGCGUAAAGCGUGUGCAGGUGGUCUUGUAAGUUGGAUGUGAAAGCCCCGGGCUCAACUCGGGAAGUGCAUUCAAAACUACAAAACUUGAGUAAGGAAGAGGGUCGUGGAAUUCCUGGUGUAGUGGUGAAAUACGUAGAUAUCAGGAGGAACACCAGUGGCGAAGGCGACUACCUGGCCUGUUCUUGACGCUGAGGCGCGAAAGCUAGGGGAGCAAACGGG
rnacentral:rRNA from 1 species